CCAGGCUGCAAGAGUUAAUUUACUGUAAGUUGCUGAUAGUGUCACUGACAGUUUAUCAUUCCUGGGCUGGUAUGUCUUUAGCCUGAUUUAAACUGGUAGCAGCUUGGAUCUCAUUUUUAAUUACACUUUGAGCAUAGCUGUCUGGUUAUUAGUAUAGGCAAAAUAUUGGCAUGCCAAUCCGGUCAUAAACCAUCAGCCAGAUCGCACAGAGGAACAGCUAAAAUGCCAUGUAUGCUACUGUCAUAAGAAUCAUUCCUAAUAAUGAUGCACUCUAUGACAUAUAAUUUUUAGAAGGUUGUAUUUAAAAAACAGAUUGCUUUUCUGAUAUACCCUGCCAACAAGGUAUUUAACAGAGCUGCGCUGGCUCUAAUGUCCCCUUUUUGCAUCCUUUCAGAGACAAGAAUAGAUACAUCACCAUCAUGACGUUAGCAAACUUGGAGACUGCAGACACUUCAUGAAAUAAAUUGGGAAUGGCAGGCUAAGUACUUGAAUUGACGAUGCAGGAACCACUGGGCCUGUCUUCAUCUGACACACUAUUGCUGGGAGAAUCAACAACGAACCCUGCUGCCUUCAGCAUUAAUGACUGCAGCUUUGCAGGCUGGGAGUACAGCUGCAACCAUCACCUUCACAAGGCCCAGGCAGGUGGCAGUGUGCCUCAUUUCUGACCCGUGCUCCUGGUUUCUGAGGGACCUGUGUGCUUGCCUUCCUCCCUGAGUUUGGGCCAAAAGCUUGUAAGUGAUUUCUGCAAGUGAGACCAACUCCUAAAAAAUUAUGUUCUUUCCCAAAUCUAAACUGUACCUUUAUAUUUUUCCAUUUUCAGGGGUGUAUUUUUACUCUUUAGCAUGAUCUUGCCUCUAAAAUACCACAAACAACAUUUGUGGUAUAGAUAAAUAAUGUAAAGAAAAUAAAAUGGAUGCUCUAUCAGAGUACCCAGCUGUUCAGCCAUCCGGUGGGGCAUGCUAGACUGGGAUAGUCAAGGGCUGCAUGUAAACCUGAUUGCCCAUUAAAGAGACACACAUUUCACAAAGCUGCAAUCAAGGCUCUCUGGAGAAUUAAGCAUUAUGCCCAUGUGUAAUAUGUCAGUUAUUUGCCAGCAGGGGAAACACUGCAAGAAGUGAAUGAGUUUUACUCUGUUCAGUGACAUUACUAAUGAUUCAUGCAGGAUUAUGGGUAACAAACCUUUGAAAUGAGAGGUUGAGUUGUACACUACAUUAUACAUCUGAAUUUCAUGGUAUAUUAGUGACAGUGAUUGGUAAUACAAUAUGAUGGGAAAUUGCUAACAUCAGAGAGAAGUUAAUAUGAUGCACUGCAAUUUCUCAAAGAGUUCCAUACUUUUUC
rnacentral:lncRNA from 1 species